rnacentral:misc_RNA from 1 species
AAAAAAUGAAACGGGAUAUUUGGUUACUAGAAAAUCACUUUAAGAAGAGCAUAUCAAAACAAUGCCUAAGCAAUUAAUAGCAAGUGGUAUCACAUGUAAUAACAGUUUUUGAAAAUAACUAAUGGUGAGACAUCGCCUCAUAUCGAACAAAAGGGGUGAAAAUAAUAUUGGAGGAUCUUUUUUGAAACUGACAUAUUAUUAUUGGAGGAUCUUUGCUUUAUAAUUUAACUAAACUUGAAAUAAAACUGAAAAACCCUGUAACAGACUAAAGAAGACGCAAAAUGGCUUUCACACAAAACAAAAAAAGGAGAAAG